AAUGAACGUUGGCGGCGUGGAUUAGGCAUGCAAGUCGUGCGCGAAUCGUAGCAAUACGAGGAGAGCGGCGAAAGGGAGAGGAUAGCAUAGAUACCUACCCUCGGACCUGGGAUAGCUAUGGGAAACUAUAGGUAAUACCAGAUAAUGUCUCCGGACCAAAGGUGUGAUUCCGUCCGGGGAGGGGCCUAUGUCCUAUUAGAUUGUUGGUGAGGUAACGGCUCACCAAGGCAAAGAUGGGUACGAGGCGUGAGAGCGUGUCCUCGCUCACUGGGACUGAGACACUGCCCAGACACCUACGGGUGGCUGCAGUCGAGAAUCUUCGGCAAUGGGCGCAAGCCUGACCGAGCGACGCCGCGUGUGGGAUGAAGGCCUUCGGGUUGUAAACCACUGUCAGUGCGGAGGAAAUAUAGUGGGGUUCUCCCCAUUAUUUGACCUAUGCGCAGAGGAAGGACGGGCUAAGUUCGUGCCAGCAGCCGCGGUAA
rnacentral:rRNA from 1 species